rnacentral:misc_RNA from 1 species
AACCAUAGAAACCUGCGGAGUACCUGCGGAAGGAUCAUUACAGGACUCGCAAGACUCCUUAAACCCCUGUGAACUUACUGUUUAUACGUUGCUUCGGCGGGUGCUCCGGGGUCCGCCCCGGGGCGCCGCGCCCGCCGGCAGCCUACUUAAUUCUGUUUCUCUGCGUUGGCAUCUCGAGUAAGCAAAAUAAGUUAAAACUUUCAACAAUGGAUCU